CUAAGUAUCAAUGUACUUCACUGACUGUCAAUCAGGGUCUUAUACUGUGGAGGGAGUCUCAUGAUCUUUGUUCUAUUAGCCACAGGCCUGAUCCCUCCCGAAUGUCACUUGCAAAUAAUGGGAGUCAUUGGGUUCUGAUUGAUAGAAUGGAAAUGGAGACAAAAGGAACAGACAUUAUGUUCAGCCAUAGCUAUAAAUUUUCCUGCACUUUCUCUUCCCCUUUCAUGGUCACCACAGAGGCUACCUGUUUAAAGCCAUGGUAUCAUAAAAUGGGAUAAUCCUGAAUCACUGAGUUACUUCUUGGAGUAAACACACUCAGGAAAGCUUCCCAGACAGCAAUGGAUGUGCUAUGAGACAUCGACUUCUGAUGCUAUCUCACAGACUUAGGGGUUGUCACUGGAACUAGCUGCAUUUAUUUUGAGCAAGGUAGAAAUUGGUAUGAUGAAAAGAGAGGUAUUGCCAUUUCAAAAACAUCGACUGUGUGGCACUGGCCUAUGAUCUUGUGGUGGACAAUGAGGAAACAGAUGUAGGAAGACUUGGAAAGUGUUGAUCUGUGUGAUUCAUUGGCAAAAAUAUUCUUUGCAAUAAUUCUGGGGUAGAUCAUAUGCCUCAUGAGCCAGCAGCCCCAGGAGAAGGAUUGGCAAAAACCUUAGUAUUGUGAGUUGCUUGUAAUUUGGUUUUACCAAAUAUUACAAGAAAGAGAUGAGGAGUCCAGGAAAUAUUUGGUUGAUUUACAAGAAACGAAGGGAAAUAGAGUCCAGAAUUUUAGGUCCUUGAAUAUUUGGGAACGUACAGUGCUUCCAGGUCCCAAACAAUAAGGAUUAAGUUUCAAAGUGUUGAAGACCUGUCAAAAUUUCCAAUGAAAUGAAGAAACUCUCAGCAAAGAUUGCAUUAAUGUGUAG
rnacentral:lncRNA from 1 species